AUGACAAUGGAAGGGAGGGAAGCCAGGGUUUGAACAGCAGCAACAGUUACAGAGAUAACCCAUGGGCUCCUGAGAGCAGAGAUUGUGACUUACUCAUCUUUGAUGUAGCCAAGUUCUAACAAACCUAAAUGUGCAGCCAUUUGUAAGAGAGGAUCAUGGAAUGAAUACGGGCAUUGAGUCAAGCAGUCUGUGUUCCACUGGCGGUGUGACCUGGGGCAGGCCAUUUCACCUCACUGAGCCUUAGUUUCCUCACCUGUAAAAUGUGAAAAAUAUCACCUUCCUUACCAGGCUUUUCUGAGGAUUUAAUGACAUCAUGUUCAGUGCCCAGUAUGGGUGGAUAAUACCCAGGAGUUUCCUCCUCUUCUCCUCCUAAGUUGACUUGAUGCCCCCCGCUGAAGAUCAUGGCUGAACUGGCUCAAUUCGGAUCCAGGACUCCUGGCUUUGUCUCUUCCCUAGUUGCCCACCACACCCAUGGACACCCUUAGGUAGUUUAUCCUUUUGGGACAACUGGAUUUAUUAGAAAAGGGUAUUCUGGGGUGGAAUAAGGCCCUUUUCAGUCCCCAUGGAGCCUUUUUGGAAGAUGAAGUUCUCAAACCCACAAGAGAAUUCAUAAGACGAGCACACCACCCACAGUUAGGUUUCCCUCUCAAGUGCUUUAUCUCCACGUGGGGCAAAUAGCUCUUUGUCUGCAUAUGUUAUUGGAGCUUUUGGAGUCCAGCCUUCAGAAGAGCUCUAAUUUUUGGAUUCAUAUCAGUUUAUUAGAGAAGCCUAGUUCUAAGGAUUAGCAAAUGGGUAGGUGCUCAGCCAGCCCAGAACAAGCAGAGCCAUGACAGAAGUUUCUGGAAUCUCACAGAGUCGGUGUCUUCAUGGACUCAGGGGGCCUAAAUCCAAUAGCCUGGAUUUGUCACUUUCCCUUAUUCCCUUAUCAAACUCUUCCCUUUUGGACAUCAGAGAAGGAAAGUACUUCCUGUAAGGGGGCAAUUUGCAAAGCUUCAUGGAAGUGGCAUUUGAGUGUGGCCUUAAAGGAUGUGUAGGAUUGGGAACCAUAGAUAUUUAGAGGAAGGCAUUCCUGGCAGAAGGAACAGCAGCAAAACACAGAAGUGGAAAUUAGUAGCAGCAUUAAUGGAGAAUAAUUUGGGGAAUAAGAUAUACAAAUGGAAUAAUAAAAAUAGCAUUAAUUAAA
rnacentral:lncRNA from 1 species